rnacentral:ncRNA from 1 species
AGCCAUAAGGGUUAGUAUUACCCUUAUGGCAUAUGUGUAGCAUGUAGCG